GCCGUCUUCGCUGCCUCGGCCGCCUCAGGCGCCUCAGGCGCGCCGCGGGUCGCCUCAGCCGCGCGGGCCGCGAUGUCUUCCCGGCCCGGGCGUGACGACGCGCGAGCCGGAGGCGCGCGGCGGCCGCGGGAGUCGGCCGAGCAGGAGCUGCAGCGGCGCCGAGAGCAGAAGCGGCGGCGGCACGACGCACAGCAGCUGCAGCAGCUCAAGCACCUGGAGUCCUUUUAUGAAAAACCUCCUCCGGGGCUUAUCAAGGAAGAUGAGACUAAGCCGGAAGACUGUAUACCAGAUGUACCAGGCAACGAACAUGCCAGGGAAUUUCUGGCUCACGCACCAACUAAAGGACUUUGGAUGCCACUCGGGAAAGAAGUCAAAGUUAUGCAGUGCUGGCGUUGUAAGCGGUAUGGUCACCGAACAGGCGACAAAGAAUGCCCUUUUUUUAUCAAAGGCAACCAAAAAUUAGAACAGUUCAGAGUAGCACAUGAAGAUCCCAUGUAUGACAUCAUACGAGAGAAUAAAAGACGUGAAAAGGAUGUAAGGAUACAGCAGUUAAAACAGUUACUGGAGGAUUCCACUUCCGAUGAAGAUGGCAGCAGCUCCAGCUCCUCAGAAUGUAAAGAGAAACACAAGAAAAAGAGGAAGAAAGAAAAGCAUAAGAAAAGGAAAAAAGAAAAGAAGAAGAAGAAAAAACAAAAGCAUAAGUCUUCCAAGUCGAAUGAGAGUUCAGACUCAGACUGACAAGGACUUGACUUAUUCCAUGUUCUCCUCUCAAAAAUCAGACACUGUGGCCCCAGACCAGAGGGUGUGGAAUUGGGGAGGACUUGGAGACCCCAAGAGAGCAGGGCAUUCGGUGUCACGUGUGUGAAUUCUCACCUGCCUUCCAGCAAAGACGUGACCCCCGGAGGACCGCUGAGCCCAUAAAGCUCAUCAAUCAAAAGUUCUUCAUCCUGAAAUCUCUCCCUUCAGACUCAGUACUCUCCAGUCCUAUUUAGAAAAUCAAGAGAAGUCACCAGAACUCCUUCUACCAAGGGCUGUGAUAGGAUGGAAAAAAUGGAUUCCUACACACUGAUGAGAAAUGACAGCAGAGGCAAAUGAGACUUUAAGAAGACUAAAGGAGAAAGAUCCCACAGGAAGAGGAGAGAAGAGGAACCACUGUGACAUACACAAGGAGAACUCCAGCCAACACUAACACCAGACCUCAGGACAAGCUAGUUGACCAGAGCCUAACUGAUCAGGGUAAUUCCAGGUCUGGGUGGAAGGGUCCUCACCUCUUCUGGCUGGCCUGGGAUCGCGGACACAGGGCUGCACGGCGUUAGGGCCCCGGGCAGCGUUGCCCACAAGCCCGGGCCGCAUCUCGCACAAACAAGUCUCGGCUUCCCCAAGCAGCAGCAGCAGCACGGAGUGAAGACUGAGGCCAGGAGAGAACUUGCCGCAGCGCCUCGAACGUGACGGGCUGUGCCCAGGAGCUCCACUCCAGGGCCAUCACUUAGGCCUGGCCUGCAGCGCCCUCGUCCUCAGCCUCUCAGGCGUGCCCACCGCGCCCCUUCCCCGGUCCAGAGGAGCCCAUCCCGGGGGACCCAGCCUCUCUUUACCCACGACUCACAUCCCACUCCCUGUCCUGCAAGUCAGUCGCCUCCACUCCCUCGGCACCCAACCCCACCACUCACCGUGUUCGGUACGCCCACCUGCUCUAAGCCAACCUCCACAACCCGGAACGUCUCUGACACCUGGGCCUUGGCUCCCACUUUCAUGGGCUCCGCGCGCUGCGCGGCCUCCCACAGAUGGCUCACGCAUGCGCCCUGGGCGAGGAUCGGAGCCUGACUGCUCCUCCCAAGGACACCUGGAGAAGCCUUGGAGCAGUUUUCGGCACCAUACUCGCUCUGGCGCCUGGACGCCCUGGUGUUGGCGCUUCCAGAGGACGGGUCGGUUCCCUGUCCCACUCGCUCUCCCGGACUGUCCCUUCCAUUUGAGUGUGUUCGGUGAAGACAGCUUGUCUCCCCUGCUCUGAGCCCCUGGUCUCCUUCCUUCUUGGGCCUAACACCGCUGACACGAAGGAAGAGGAGCUGACGGAGGAGAAGGAGAGAGGAAGGAGGAGGCUAGCCUGAACCGUGUGGACCUGAAAGUAGGCGAUUCAUAAGGGAGGGGCGCUCCAGCCCCUACCGCUGCGGAGAGUAAAAGCAGGGGUGCAGAGGCUCUGGCAGUUAGGGCGCCCUGGGUUGGGAGAGUGAGGAACAGAGGGCCUGGGGAAGUCGUCUGUGGGCUGGUACAUGGGCAGUUGGAGAGAGAAGCUGGCACACACGGACUCCGCUUUUUUUGCAUGGGAGAGAAAGGAAAGGCCUAGGAUCGUAGUUAAUGGGAGUCGUGGGGUUGCAAGGAUUAUUGUGAGUUUUUUGUUUUGUUUUUAAAGCGAGAGAUUUAGGUAUCUGUGAGGCCAGAAUGGAGAGACAGGGAGAUGUUACCUAUAGUGGAGAGAGAAGGGGUGUUAGGAGGAUGUUCUGAGGAAGCACAAGGUGAGGUUAGCUAAGCCUGGUUACAAUGCUUUCCCUUGAACAGAAGAAAGUUACUGAGAUAGGUGGGAAAUGAAGUCUUUGAAGGCAGGAGUUUUAGUGCUUUAGCAUGUGAUGACCUUGAUAUUUUUCUUUUUCUAAAGUUUAUUUAUUUUGAGAGAGAGAAACUGUGUGUGUAUGAGGGAGCAGGAGAGGAGAGAGGGAGAGAGAGAAUCCCAACCAGGCUCCUUGCUGUCAGCACAGAGCCUGACCUGGGGCUCAGUCUCACAAAACUGUGAGAUCAUGACCUGAGCUGAAACCAAGAGUCUGGCACUUAAUUGACUGAGCUACCCAUGCGCCCUACUCUUGAUAUUUUUCAAUGGAAGGCAGAAUAAAGACUUUAAGGGAACAUUGAAAAUUUGGGAUGACUGUCUGCAUUACCAGGUAAAGUUGUGUUUGAGCAGAAAUACUGGUGCCUGAAACUGGAUAAAGUUUUUUUUUUCACAUAGAGAUGGAGAUAUUCCAGGGCAGGUCUGGAAACUCCUUGCUGUCACAAAGAACCCAGUCUCCUUUCGUUUUGUUCUGCCAUCCUUACAAUGGCUUCCAUCUUCAAAAUGCCACAUGUUCCAAGAUGCUUGUUCCAGGCAGAAAGCAGGGGGUUGAGAAGGGAAAGGGUAAAAAAGAGCACAACAGGUACACAGCAGCUUCUGUCAUCAGUAUUGCUUUUAAGGAGCUUUACUAGAUGACCUACCCAACUUCAGCUUAUACCACAAUGGCUUCCCAUGGCUGAAAUGAAGUUGUCUUUUAGCUAGGCGUAUUGCCACUUGCAAUAAAUUGAGAUGCUAUGACUAAGGAAGAGAAUGGGUAUUAAUUGAGCUGACAACGAACAAUGUCUGCCAUACUGCUGCAGGGAAGGGAAAAAACAGUCUUCUACAAACAUGCAAAAGGAUUGCUGGUAGAGUUGAGGGCUGACCUGGAAUGAGGAUCAGUACUUUGUAUUUUCCCUCAUCUGUAGUGGUGUAUCACUUGCUCAGUCAUAUUCAGCUGCUUGGGAGAGACCUUGAAUGAUUGCAUGAAUCCAAACCAAGGACUGUGGUUUUACAGAGCUUGUGAACAGAAGAGCAAGGGUUCAAGAAAGUUCAGUGUCAUCGUGAGAAAUUAAUACAUCAUGACACAUAAUGUAUACCCUGUACUUACAUGACCGUGAACAUGAGUGCCUCCUUAAAGUUUUACCCUAGGUGCCUCACCCCACCCUACUUAGUGGCCUAGUAUAUAGUCAGGAAGAGAAAGGAAGUAAUGUCAGAGGGGAGCUGAUCAAAUGGAGAAAAAAUUAAUGGAAAUAUUUUACAUGACAGGGAGUUGUAGUCAGAGAAUGGACAGUUUAAAUUUAGGAUUUCAGAGUUGGAACUGUUGCUAAUUAUAACAAGGUCCAUCGGGUGGUCAAGUAGUGCUUUGCUCAGAUGCUGUGUGGUGAGAGUCAUUGGCACUGAGGAAGGAAAAGAUCUUGGAAGCUGGAGUUUUGGAUGACUCACCCCCUCCUUCAUAUCGUGGUCAUGUAGAUAGAGGUUUCCUAUGUUCUCAAUGAAUGUGGCACAGUGACCCACAAGGUGAAAGACAGAAGUAUCAGAAGAUGUUUGUAUUUAUAAUUUUAUAAUAUUUUUCUUGAAGAUAACCCCCCAAAAUUUAUAAUAGUCAGUCCCCAGAAAACUGGGAUUUUCCACAAGCUAGUGGCCAUAUCUCAGUGCUGGGGUGCAUGAACAGUGAAAGAAAGAAGAACCUCCUUAUGAGGGCAGCUCAGAACAGGAGUGUCCUUGGGAGGAAACAAAGUUCAGCAACUAUUCAGAAAUAGGUUGAGGGAUAUAGUGGGUUGUGUUCAGCCAAACAGGGCUUCCAAGUUACAUAAUCGAGAGGGUUCGUAGGUAGAUCAGCAGGGAGCAGGAUUGGAAUGAGAGUGUUCCAGAAAUGCCAGCUAAUUGGAAGCUUUGGAUUUGAGGCUGUGCUGGAAGAUGUCACAGAUGAAACUACCCAGUUUUGUACUACUUGGUCUGUAGUGGUACUAUCUGGCUCAUAGAUUCCACUAGACCUCUAAUAUAAAAAUGUUUUUGUGCCAACUGAGGCAUUUUGUGUGGGGUGGGGUGUCUGGGGUUAGGUGGUGGUUGCUAUUUUUAUGUUAAGGUCCAGUUAGUGAACUCUGUGUUCUCUGCUCAGGAUUCCAAAUGGGUAUUAUUAUCAUUGUCUCUAUUUUAAGAUGACGACACCUGAGAUUCAGGGAGGUUAAGUAAUCUAACCAUAUAUAUGAAGUUUCAAUCCUAAAUUGGAAGGAGAUUGGGCUAAGGUCUUUGGAUUCCCAGGCCCAGUGCCUUUUCUAUUCCUUGGGUGGUCCCUGUUACUCUCCUUUUGACAGUUUGACAGUCUCUGUCUCAUUAAAGCAGCCUGAUUUAUACUUUCCCCUCAGUUGACACACUGGAUUUUAUAUUGAAAAUUUAAACAGCAAGUGUAAUAAUAAUAAUAGUCUUGUUUUCCAUACCUUGAGCUUCCUCUUUAACAUAUUGGUGAGCUAUAAACACAUCAUGGAUGCUCAGCCUUACUAGUGAACCUUCAUUCACUCAUUUCCUCCACAAAUAUUUGAGUACGUACAACUGUAACCCUAAGGAAACAGCAGGGAAGAAAAAAUUAUAAUUCCUAGGGAGUCUACAUUCUUUUGGGAUUUGCAGUGAGAUGCCAUUUAUAACUAUCAGAUUGGGGGGGGUGGGGAAUGUAACCAGUUUGACAACAGGAGAGUUAAGGAGGAAGAAGUGAAGUGGUAGGAGCAUGUAUAGACUGCUGCUGGUGAUACUUCAAAUCACUUUGGAGAGCAAGUUGACGAUAUCAAAAAGUUGAAAAAGGGUUGGGGCGUCUGGGUGGCUCAGUUGGUUAAGCGUCCACCUUCAGCUUGGGUCAUGAUCUCAUGGUUUGUGG